AUCGCUUCUCGGCCUUUUGGCUAAGAUCAAGUGUGAAAAUAUCUUAAAUUCUAAUUUUUCUUAACUGGAGUUUUACAAAAAAUUUAACCCCUACUGGAUAUGAUUUGAAUGACUAUUUUGUCAGCUCUCCC
rnacentral:snRNA from 1 species